rnacentral:rRNA from 1 species
AGUGAACGCUGGCGGUAGGCCUAACACAUGCAAGUCGAACGGCAGCACAGUAAGAGCUUGCUCUUACGGGUGGCGAGUGGCGGACGGGUGAGGAAUACAUCGGAAUCUACUUUUUCGUGGGGGAUAACGUAGGGAAACUUACGCUAAUACCGCAUACGACCUACGGGUGAAAGCAGGGGAUCUUCGGACCUUGCGCGAUUGAAUGAGCCGAUGUCGGAUUAGCUAGUUGGCGGGGUAAAGGCCCACCAAGGCGACGAUCCGUAGCUGGUCUGAGAGGAUGGUCAGCCACACUGGAACUGAGACACGGUCCAGACUCCUACGGGAGGCAGCAGUGGGGAAUAUUGGACCAAGGGCGCAAGCCUGAUCCCGCCAUACCGCGUGGGUGAAGAAGGCCUUCGGGUUGUGAAGCCCUUUUGUUGGGAAAGAAAAGCAGCAGGUUAAUACCCCGCUGUUCUGACGGUACCCAAAGAAUAAGCACCGGCUAACUUCGUG